UUUCGAAUCAUUCACAAUGGGCGCAAGCUUGAUGGUGCGACGCCGCGUGGGGGACGAAGGUCCUCGGAUUGUAAACCCCUGUCAAUAGGGACUAAAUUUUACGUUAGUAGCGUAAAUUGAAUUAACCUAUAGAGGAAGUAGUGGCAAACUCUGUGCCAGCAGCCGCGGUAAUACAGAGACUACAAGCGUUACUCGGAUUCACUGGGCGUAAAGGGAGUGUAGGCGGUUUUAUGUGUCUGCUGUGAAAUCUUGGGGCUUAACCCCAAAAUUGCGGUGGAAACUAUAGAACUAGAGUAUUGGAGAGGUAAGCGGAAUUCUAAGUGUAGCAGUGAAAUGCGUAGAUAUUUAGAGGAACACCGAAGGCGAAGGCAGCUUACUGGACAAUAACUGACGCUGAGGCUCGAAAGCGUGGGGAGCAAAAG
rnacentral:rRNA from 1 species